UACGUAGGGUGCAAGCGUUAAUCGGAAUUACUGGGCGUAAAGCGUGCGCAGGCGGUUUUGUAAGUCUGUCGUGAAAGCCCCGGGCUCAACCUGGGAAUUGCGAUGGAGACUGCAAGGCUUGAAUCUGGCAGAGGGGGGUAGAAUUCCACGUGUAGCAGUGAAAUGCGUAGAGAUGUGGAGGAACACCGAUGGCGAAGGCAGCCCCCUGGGUCA
rnacentral:rRNA from 1 species